UGGGAGGCAACAUCAGUAUCUACCUUAAAGGGCUUUCUGAGGAAUAACCAGACAAUGCACAUAAGAGACUGCUACAGCAUCUGACAGAGUCACUUUGGAGCAGAACGGGAUGGAUUCAAAUCUAUUUGUUGAAAAGAAAUGGAGCUACAUCAUUUCUAUACAUAACAGCAGGGAUUGCAGCAGACUGACAACUUCUGAUGACAAGCAAUGAGAGUAAGUGAAUCCCUGGGAGUUCUCUGUGUUCCUGUAACUAAUGAGUAACUGCACUUUAUCAUCCCACCCCCGGACACUCCUCUGUCCAAACCGCUCUCCUCCCAACGACCACCAGAUACAUGUCUACUUCUGCUUCAAGCAUGCCAGCCACCUCUGCGAGGAAACCAGCUAAAGUCCCUCAUCACUCUUCCAAAUAAACCCACUGUCACACA